rnacentral:tRNA from 1 species
GUCUCAGUGGCAUAGUGGUUAGUGCACAGCCCGGCUAGGUUGAGACGCGGGUUCGAAUCUCGCCUGAGAUG